UACGGAGGGUGCAAGCGUUAAUCGGAAUUACUGGGCGUAAAGCGCGCGUAGGUGGUUUGUUAAGUUGGAUGUGAAAGCCCCGGGCUCAACCUGGGAAUGGCACUUGAUACUGCCGGGCUAGAGUAUGGUAGAGGGAGGCGGAAUUUCCGGUGUAGCGGUGAAAUGCGUAGAUAUCGGAAGGAACACCAGUGGCGAAGGCGGCCUCCUGGACCACCACUGACGCUGAGGCGCGAAAGCGUGGGGAGCGAA
rnacentral:rRNA from 1 species